rnacentral:rRNA from 1 species
UACAGAGGGUGCGAGCGUUAAUCGGAAUUACUGGGCGUAAAGGGCGCGUAGGCGGUUGAUUAAGUUAGAUGUGAAAUUCCCGGGCUUAACCUGGGGACUGCAUUUGAUACUGAUUGACUAGAGUAUGGUAGAGGGGAGUGGAAUUUCCGGUGUAGCGGUGAAAUGCGUAGAUAUCGGAAGGAACACCAGUGGCGAAGGCGACUCUCUGGGCCAAUACUGACGCUGAGGCGCGAAAGCGUGGGGAUCAAACAGG